CUGCUCAGAUUGACGCUGGCGGCAGGCCUAACACAUGCAAGUCGAGCGGUAGAGAGAAGCUUGCUUCUCUUGAGAGCGGCGGACGGGUGAGUAAUGCCUAGGAAUCUGCCUGGUAGUGGGGGAUAACGUUCGGAAACGGACGCUAAUACCGCAUACGUCCUACGGGAGAAAGCAGGGGACCUUCGGGCCUUGCGCUAUCAGAUGAGCCUAGGUCGGAUUAGCUAGUUGGUGAGGUAAUGGCUCACCAAGGCGACGAUCCGUAACUGGUCUGAGAGGAUGAUCAGUCACACUGGAACUGAGACACGGUCCAGACUCCUACGGGAGGCAGCAGUGGGGAAUAUUGGACAAUGGGCGAAAGCCUGAUCCAGCCAUGCCGCGUGUGUGAAGAAGGUCUUCGGAUUGUAAAGCACUUUAAGUUGGGAGGAAGGGCAGUAGAUUAAUACUCUGCAAUUUUGACGUUACCGACAGAAUAAGCACCGGCUAACUCUGUGCCAGCAGCCGCGGUAAUACAGAGGGUGCAAGCGUUAAUCGGAAUUACUGGGCGUAAAGCGCGCGUAGGUGGUUUGUUAAGUUGGAUGUGAAAUCCCCGGGCUCAACCUGGGAACUGCAUUCAAAACUGACUGACUAGAGUAUGGUAGAGGGUGGUGGAAUUUCCUGUGUAGCGGUGAAAUGCGUAGAUAUAGGAAGGAACACCAGUGGCGAAGGCGACCACCUGGACUAAUACUGACACUGAGGUGCGAAAGCGUGGGGAGCAAACAGGAUUAGAUACCCUGGUAGUCCACGCCGUAAACGAUGUCAACUAGCCGUUGGAAGCCUUGAGCUUUUAGUGGCGCAGCUAACGCAUUAAG
rnacentral:rRNA from 1 species